CUUCUAGAUCAUACUUUGGUGUAUAAAUACGACUCGAGAGAAGAAAAUUGUUUAUUAAUGUUCAGUUUUUCUUAAUUAGAUUUGAUAAAAAUUUCUAAAAACGUUAAAAGAUGAACCGAGGAAAUGGAGAUUUUGUGACUAUUCGAUGCAGUGAUGGUGAUAUUCGUACCCGAAGAUCUGCUUUACAACCUUACAGAGCUUUAUAUGAAGCACGAGAAGUGCAUUUUCUGGUGCUCUUAGUGAAAUAAGAUUGCCCCAUCUUCCGACCAGCGUAGCCGGCCCAAAUAGUUACUUGGGCAGAAAGGCAUAUGAAUGAUCCUGGCAGAUCUUCAUUUGAACCAACUCAAAACGUUGACGUUACAUUGACUCCUGAAGAUUCAAACCAAUUAUCGAGUCUUGAUAUCAAUACGCUUCUUCAAGUUUAUCCAGGCAUCCGAUGAAUACAUUAUUCUAGAUUUACUCUCCGGUGCAUGUAAAAGAGCAGCAGAAGUUUUCGAAAAUACAGAUCCCAUGGUCCUAAGAAGAGAAC